rnacentral:rRNA from 1 species
CCUACGGGAGGCUGCAGUGGGGAAUAUUGCACAAUGGGGGAAACCCUGAUGCAGCGACGCCGCGUGAGUGAAGAAGUAUUUCGGUAUGUAAAGCUCUAUCAGCAGGAACGAGACAAGACGGUACCUGACUAAGAAGCCCCGGCUAACUACGUGCCAGCAGCCGCGGUAAUACGUAGGGGGCAAGCGUUAUCCGGAAUCACUGGGUGUAAAGGGAGCGUAGACGGCUGAGCAAGCCUGAAGUGAAAGGCGGGGGCCCAACCCCUGGACUGCUUUGGGAACUGUACGGCUAGAGUGCAGGAGAGGGAAGUGGAAUUCCUAGUGUAGCGGUGAAAUGCGUAGAUAUUAGGAGGAACACCAGUGGCGAAGGCGGCUUACUGGACUGUAACUGACGUUGAGGCUCGAAAGCGUGGGGAGCAAACAGGAUUAGAUACCCUUGUAGUC